rnacentral:rRNA from 1 species
AUUGAACGCUGGCGGCAGGCCUAACACAUGCAAGUCGAGCGGAUGAAGGGAGCUUGCUCCUGGAUUCAGCGGCGGACGGGUGAGUAAUGCCUAGGAAUCUGCCUGGUAGUGGGGGAUAACGUCCGGAAACGGGCGCUAAUACCGCAUACGUCCUGAGGGAGAAAGUGGGGGAUCUUCGGACCUCACGCUAUCAGAUGAGCCUAGGUCGGAUUAGCUAGUUGGUGGGGCAAAGGCCUACCAAGGCGACGAUCCGUAACUGGUCUGAGAGGAUGAUCAGUCACACUGGAACUGAGACACGGUCCAGACUCCUACGGGAGGCAGCAGUGGGGAAUAUUGGACAAUGGGCGAAAGCCUGAUCCAGCCAUGCCGCGUGUGUGAAGAAGGUCUUCGGAUUAUAAAGCACUUUAAGUUGGGAGGAAGGGCAGUAAGUUAAUACCUUGCUGUUUUGACGUUACCAACAGAAUAAGCACCGGCUAACUUCGUG